GGUGGGCACCAUCCAAUCUGCUGCCAGCACAGCCAGAACACAGUAGGCGGAAGAAGGUGGGAUAGGCUGGCUUGAUGAGCCUUCUGACUUUCACCUUUCUCCCCUGCUGGAUGCAUCCAUCCAUCUCUCCCUCCUGCCUUCAGACAUCAGACUCCAGCUUCUUUGGCCUUUGGACUCUUAGACUUACACUAGUGGUUUGCUGGGGGCUUUCCGGCCUUUGGCCACAGACUGAAGGCUGCAUCGUCAGCUUCCCUACCUUUGAAGAUUUUGGACUUUGACUGAGUCACUAUUGGCUUCUUUCUUCCUCAGCUUGCAGACGGCCUAUCAUGGGACUUCACCUUGUGAUCAAUUUCAUUCCUGCAGAAACCACAAUAAAGGGACGUGCCCUCAGUUGCCCUGUCUCCCUCUGCCUCAUGACUGACCGCGGUGCAUGACCUGAGUGGCCUUGUGUGGCCUGCUGCUUUCUCCCCAGUGAACUGUGAAUUACUAAUUGAGGCAUAUUUUGUGACUAUGGCAGAGGCAAAAAAGUACAAACAAAGGAGAAGGACUGAGGUGUUCUAUCUCUUUCCGGCACAAAUCAUCACUUCACAUAUCCCUUCUAGACAGCAGCUGUAUGAUAGCAUGAUACUUUUUUCUACUUGUUCUGAAGUGUGAACCGGAAAGAGCAGAAAGUGUUAGCCAGAGAAAAGACAUCCCUCUGUGAGGAUGCAUUUGGAGAAAAUGGUUGAUUCCCUUUAAGGAAUCAAGGUUAGCCUGCAGAGCUAAUAAAAGCCCCUUGGGAAAACUUGCCUGAUACCUUGUCUACACACUCUCUGUACAGGAUUGCUAAUCUGUGGCUAUCAAGCUCCAAACGCUAAUGCAAAUAAAACCACACAUGGACGUGCCUUUUAUCCAAGGACCCCCAGACCAGCCCCAGGAGGAAACCUAGCUGCUGUUCCCCUCACAACACCUUUCUCCAGUAGUAUCAUCACCCCACCUACCUAACAGAAGUUAGGGUCUCUACCCCUGAAGGGGAGAAUGAGAGAGAACAAAGAAAGAAACUGGUCAGUCAGGCAGUUUGGGUGGAUCCUUGGUUGAAUUCUUUCAAGCAAAAGAACAGCCUGAAAACUCAAGCUCCAGGCACAGAUAAGGGAACUUGCACA
rnacentral:lncRNA from 1 species